rnacentral:rRNA from 1 species
UCAAGUGAAUAAGUGCAUCAGGCGGAUGCCUUGGCGAUGAUAGGCGACGAAGGACGUGUAAGCCUGCGAAAAGCGCGGGGGAGCUGGCAAUAAAGCUAUGAUUCCGCGAUGUCCGAAUGGGGAAACCCACUGCAUUCUGUGCAGUAUCCUAAGUUGAAUACAUAGGCUUAGAGAAGCGAACCCGGAGAACUGAACCAUCUAAGUACCCGGAGGAAAAGAAAUCAACCGAGAUUCCGCAAGUAGUGGCGAGCGAACGCGGAGGAGCCUGUACGUAAUAACUGUCGAGAUAGAAGAACAAGCUGGGAAGCUUGACCAUAGCGGGUGACAGUCCCGUAUUCGAAAUCUCAACAGCGGUACUAAGCGUACGAAAAGUAGGGCGGGACACGUGAAAUCCUGUCUGAAUAUGGGGGGACCAUCCUCCAAGGCUAAAUACUCAUCAUCGACCGAUAGUGAACCAGUACCGUGAGGGAAAGGCGAAAAGAACCCCGGGAGGGGAGUGAAACAGAACCUGAAACCUGAUGCAUACAAACAGUGGGAGCGCCCUAGUGGUGUGACUGCGUACCUUUUGUAUAAUGGGUCAACGACUUACAUUCAGUAGCGAGCUUAACCGGAUAGGGGAGGCGUAGGGAAACCGAGUCUUAAUAGGGCGAUGAGUUGCUGGGUGUAGACCCGAAACCGAGUGAUCUAUCCAUGGCCAGGUUGAAGGUGCCGUAACAGGUACUGGAGGACCGAACCCACGCAUGUUGCAAAAUGCGGGGAUGAGCUGUGGGUAGGGGUGAAAGGCUAAACAAACUCGGAGAUAGCUGGUUCUCCCCGAAAACUAUUUAGGUAGUGCCUCGAGCAAGACACUGAUGGGGGUAAAGCACUGUUAUGGCUAGGGGGUUAUUGCAACUUACCAACCCAUGGCAAACUCAGAAUACCAUCAAGUGGUUCCUCGGGAGACAGACAGCGGGUGCUAACGUCCGUUGUCAAGAGGGAAACAACCCAGACCGCCGGCUAAGGUCCCAAAUGAUAGAUUAAGUGGUAAACGAAGUGGGAAGGCACAGACAGCCAGGAUGUUGGCUUAGAAGCAGCCAUCAUUUAAAGAAAGCGUAAUAGCUCACUGGUCGAGUCGUCCUGCGCGGAAGAUGUAACGGGGCUCAAAUCUAUAACCGAAGCUGCGGAUGCCGGUUUACCGGCAUGGUAGGGGAGCGUUCUGUAGGCUGAUGAAGGUGCAUUGUAAAGUGUGCUGGAGGUAUCAGAAGUGCGAAUGUUGACAUGAGUAGCGAUAAAGCGGGUGAAAAGCCCGCUCGCCGAAAGCCCAAGGUUUCCUACGCAACGUUCAUCGGCGUAGGGUAAGUCGGCCCCUAAGGCGAGGCAGAAAUGCGUAGUCGAUGGGAAACAGGUUAAUAUUCCUGUACUUGAUUCAAAUGCGAUGUGGGGACGGAGAAGGUUAGGUUGGCAAGCUGUUGGAAUAGCUUGUUUAAGCCGGUAGGUGGAAGACUUAGGCAAAUCCGGGUUUUCUUAACACCGAGAAGUGAUGACGAGUGUCUACGGACACGAAGCAACCGAUACCACGCUUCCAGGAAAAGCCACUAAGCUUCAGUUUGAAUCGAACCGUACCGCAAACCGACACAGGUGGGCAGGAUGAGAAUUCUAAGGCGCUUGAGAGAACUCGGGAGAAGGAACUCGGCAAAUUGAUACCGUAACUUCGGGAGAAGGUAUGCCCUCUAAGGUUAAGGACUUGCUCCGUAAGCCCCGGAGGGUCGCAGAGAAUAGGUGGCUGCGACUGUUUAUUAAAAACACAGCACUCUGCCAACACGAAAGUGGACGUAUAGGGUGUGACGCCUGCCCGGUGCCGGAAGGUUAAUUGAAGAUGUGCAAGCAUCGGAUCGAAGCCCCGGUAAACGGCGGCCGUAACUAUAACGGUCCUAAGGUAGCGAAAUUCCUUGUCGGGUAAGUUCCGACCCGCACGAAUGGCGUAACGAUGGCCACACUGUCUCCUCCCGAGACUCAGCGAAGUUGAAGUGGUUGUGAAGAUGCAAUCUACCCGCUGCUAGACGGAAAGACCCCGUGAACCUUUACUGUAGCUUUGCAUUGGACUUUGAAGUCACUUGUGUAGGAUAGGUGGGAGGCUUGGAAGCAGAGACGCCAGUCUCUGUGGAGUCGUCCUUGAAAUACCACCCUGGUGUCUUUGAGGUUCUAACCCAGACCCGUCAUCCGGGUCGGGGACCGUGCAUGGUAGGCAGUUUGACUGGGGCGGUCUCCUCCCAAAGCGUAACGGAGGAGUUCGAAGGUUACCUAGGUCCGGUCGGAAAUCGGACUGAUAGUGCAAUGGCAAAAGGUAGCUUAACUGCGAGACCGACAAGUCGGGCAGGUGCGAAAGCAGGACAUAGUGAUCCGGUGGUUCUGUAUGGAAGGGCCAUCGCUCAACGGAUAAAAGGUACUCCGGGGAUAACAGGCUGAUUCCGCCCAAGAGUUCAUAUCGACGGCGGAGUUUGGCACCUCGAUGUCGGCUCAUCACAUCCUGGGGCUGUAGUCGGUCCCAAGGGUAUGGCUGUUCGCCAUUUAAAGUGGUACGUGAGCUGGGUUUAAAACGUCGUGAGACAGUUUGGUCCCUAUCUGCAGUGGGCGUUGGAAGUUUGACGGGGGCUGCUCCUAGUACGAGAGGACCGGAGUGGACGAACCUCUGGUGUACCGGUUGUAACGCCAGUUGCAUAGCCGGGUAGCUAAGUUCGGAAGAGAUAAGCGCUGAAAGCAUCUAAGCGCGAAACUCGCCUGAAGAUGAGACUUCCCUUGCGGUUUAACCGCACUAAAGGGUCGUUCGAGACCAGGACGUUGAUAGGUGGGGUGUGGAAGCGCGGUAACGCGUGAAGCUAACCCAUACUAAUUGCCCGUGAGGCUUGACUC